rnacentral:lncRNA from 1 species
CGCCUUGCCUGUCAGGGUUUAUUGUUUUCCUGUGUCCAAGAAAGCGACGGUGACCUUCAACUGCCGCCGCCAUAUGUCCUGGAUAUGUAGGUAUAAAUACAUCACUUUCAACUGAAACAAGGUAGUCAAGCGCAGCCAUUUGAGACGCAUGAUUGGUAAAAGGUUCAAGCUCCUCAACGGAUGCCAAGGUUUCCUGAAAGUGAAAACCAGCAUUACAGUCCAUGUGUCAGGAUUUCAGACAUACCCAGAUAUGUCCGAAUGACAAAAAAUUUCAAGAUAAAUUGAAUAGAUAUAUAGAUGUUCAUUUGGACUUCCUCCUGAUCAUUUUCUUAGUCACAUGGGAGACUUGCUGCUCUGAUGUCAUUUUCUACAUUUCUAAAAGAACUUUAUCAGUUGUGCAUAACAAUCCACAUGACUCUUAAUCAAUAUCUGUUUUAUCUCUGAUAAUCUGCACUGCAUAUAUCAGCAGGUUCGCCACCUUUGUUCACACCAAUAAAUCAAAAUCUCAACGCCCACUCAAACUUUAUGGAUAAAAUUCUAAUUUGAGUAUGGCAUUAGCUCUUGAUGGUUUUAAUGAUGUACAGCCAUAGAGAAAUCUUUCUUCGUACCCAGAUUUUAAAAGAAACAAAAAUGUGUGGCCAGAUGACAGUGAAAUGCACAAGAUAACAUUCCGUCUGAGAUUAUAAUUCUAAGUAAUUUGGGCCCCCAAGAAGAGUAGCAGUACCAUUAGUUCAAAAUAGUAUUAACGGAUAUGGCCAAUAUAUUGGAUCGACUAAUGUGCCGAGCUCCCUUGCUACAGCAGUCGUGAUACUUUUCUAUCUACAUUCUAUAUAAAUUGGAAUGUCAUAUAUUCAAUUUAAACUUCAAGGUCAGCCACAGACAUUCUAAAAGUUUCAUUAUAUUCCAUUCAGAGCUCAGUUAUUUAACAAAACAGAAAAGAUCAAUUAUAAACAUCAAUGAUACCUUGCUCUUCAGUAUGGGAUAACGGGAUAGUAGAUCAGCCAUACGAGAAUCACCAUAUAUCUUUCCAGCAGCAAUGUAGAUAGGUGUGUUUGGUGGGUACCCAAGAGCACUGAGAAAAAUUCCAGUCUCCCUUGGAGUUAAUGGGCAAUACCCGCUGGAUCUCUGUUCUAUGGAAUUAAUUUCCUUGUUUCUCCAGGUUUUUGUGUUCUCCCUGCAUGUUCCAAAUAAAACAGGCAUCACAAAAGCUCAAGGAUUAACCAACGUGACAGAAUUUCUCCCAACAUAAGUUUUUCAUACCGGAUGAUCCUUAGUUCAUCAGCUUCAGAUGGAGUUAAAUCCUGCGUGCAUCCACUAAAGGCAAGCAUGUCCUUCUCAAAUCGUAAAUGAAGGGCAAUAAAAGGACCAAACGACCUCAUCCGAUCAACUAACAACUAAAACAUUAAUGAAACAAAAAUAAAAUUGUAAAAUAGAUGGAAUAGGACUAAAAAGUUAUAAUAGGCAUUCCAGAAAUCAAACUAGCAUGUAGAUCUAAGAAUUUACUUUUCCCAUUGCUUCAAUUUGAGGUGUAAAACGCAGAGCUUCAUAACAAGCACGACAGCGAAGUUUCUGUAUAUCUAGAGGUAGGUUGUUAUUUGCUAAGCGAGCAUCAGCUUUGGAGGCUCGAAUAACCUUAGAAAAAGAAUAAAGUGUUUAACAAGAUGAUUUUGAUUAAUUCAAAAAAGAAUAUAUAAAAUACAUUGCAUAAACCAGAGUGUUCCAGAAACCACACCUCGUACACUUCCCAGAGACUAGCUAUCUCAUCUUGGUAAUAAUCCAUACUAGCCCAGCUUCUGAAAAGCUUUAGUGCUCUGGGACCAGAAGCAAGUUCCUUGGGAAGCUUUUUUACAAUUUUAACAUCAUUAGCUAGAGCCUUGAUAAAAUGAUCUUCGUCAAAAACAUCUGAGAAGUUGCUGCGCAACAUAUAUAGGGAACAAAUUUUUGCAUCAAGGACAUAAUAGCUAAGAAUAAAACAGAAUUCAGAGUGUAAAAUAAGUGACAGUGUUACCUAGAGUCUUUCCAAAACGACCGUUGAUCAAGUUCUGGAAUAACAAGAGUGGCAUUUAUGAUGCGGGCUACAGCUACCAUGUCACAUAUCUGGAAUUCAAGGAUGACACAUUUCAGCUCCAUUCAAUAAUCAGAUGACGAUAUUCAUAAAACUAUCAUGUACAUGGAGCCAAGCAAAAUAUUCUAUGGCUUCUGUGUCUACCAUUGUGAAACACACUAAUUGGCCAUCUAAAUAGAUUUGUUGCGUGAUGUCAUGUAGCCUACCACGAUGGUAAGAAUUGUGCAGUUCUAAGGUUUUUAUCACUUAAAUCUUACAUAGGUACAGACCAAACCCCACAACAUAUAGGCAGGUACAGCCGAGUCAAAAUUGUGCACCAUGAAGUCCAUGUUUUUAUAACUAUAGAAAUUGCAGCAACCAAUUAAUAUUUGCAAACUGCAACUGGAUAAAAUAAUGAGACAACUCUCAAAGCUUAAAUGCCCUAUUUAGUAAUAGAAAAGAAAGAGGGAUAAAGGCCUAUCCCAAAACUUUAUGCAAAUACAACUUGAGAUCCCAAUGUGACAGAUUAGAAUCAGAUUAUUGUUUCACAUUAGUAAUAUGAGUGAGAUUAGAAUCAGACUAUUUUUCCAGAGUCUAUCAAUGAGAAAAAAAACAAUAUACAACAACAACAACCACUAAAUAUCCCACUAAGUGGGGUCGGCUGUAUGAAUCCUAAAACGCCACUGCGCUUGGUUUUGCGCAAGUCUUUCGUUAAUUACAUUCGCAGAAAUCAAACACUGGAUCCAUCCAUAAUCCUAACCCAUUAACCCACCCUCUCUCACGGUCACACCGCUUGGGCUAACCUCAAGGGAUUAACAUAAAUGAAUUUUUGCUACACACAUUUCAAAAUCAAAAUGUGGACAAGAUCAAAAUUCAACACAAUACAUUUGAGAAAGAGAGUGUGUUCAUAUACCCCUGCACGCAUCUGGUUGAGACCACCAUUUGUACGCACUUGAAAGUAGCCCCGUGACUCUGCAGGAGCUGAAUAAACAACAGUAAAGUGGAAAUUAGGAACACCAAGGAUAUGUCAUUAUGUCAUAGCUACACAAUAAAUCUCUACCAGUAACUUACGUGUAUAGUUCGGAGUUGGCUCUACACACUGCACAAAAUCGGGAGUCGGUGGAAUCUUCCAUAGCUUGUCAUCCAAUAUCCGACUUGUAUCAUCCAACUGUCAAGUCUAAAGGAGUGAAAACAUGAAAGAUGUAUAACUUUGUCACAUGAACAAAUGUAUCUAAAGUCUACAAGAUUAAGACCCAAGUCCUAACUCCUAACGAAAGGAAUAUACAGCUUCUAUUGUGUUUCUUUUCUCUUUUUCGCCAAAGGUAAUGUGUUCAGUAAUAUCUUAUUCCGUUGAAUCGUAAUAACGCAAACCAUGAAGUUGAUGCAUUCAAAUUCUUCUUCUUUAGUUUUCCUAGGUUGUCACAAUAUCAACAUUCAAGUGGAGUGCAUAAAGGAAUCAUCAAUCAUAUACGUAUCGAUCAUUUGAUACUUUUUCGGAACCAAACAUACUUGUAAAUGAACAAACCCAAUAGUAAUGCAUACAUAACAACAACAAAAACAACAACGAAAUUGAAAUCUGCAGCAUUUUUCAUACAGACCCAACAUUAAUAUUGUCGAAAAAAGUAAACCCAUAUCGUAAAAACUACAAAAGCUUCAAGAAAAAUAUCGAAAAAUUGAAUGAAUUUGCAAUUGCAUUUUCUGGAAAUAAUAAGAAAGUGCGACAACAGAGAUGGGUCGGAUAAGGAGAUCACCGUGGGAAGCUUGACGGGGUCGGAGAAGUUAGGGACUUUGGAGAAAGAGAAGAGAGCCACUAGCGCAAUUAAGCAUACGGCGCACGUUAGCACCUUCCUCACUGUCGCCAAUGUUCUCCAGCUCUUCCUCUGCAUCUGGUAUCUGAAGCUCACUCAUCCAGAGGCCUCGCCUGCAAAUCCAAAUGACGGGAAGGCUUUGGUUUGUGGGUUUUGUUGGGUUCGCGGGUUUUGGCGCUGAUCUAAAUCGGUUCGCCCGAACUCGGGCGUUUGUGACUGGAUUUACGCUGCUUUUCGUGUGCUUUCUGGGUUUUUGCCGCUUUGGUAGGUUGUUUAGUUUGUUUUUGAGCACUGGUUAGUUCGCAAUAAAAAACAAAAUGAAACAAAAAUUCAUUUGAUAUUUAUUUUAUUUUUGACGUUAAUUUCUAAUUUUCAUUUUCAGGACCCAAUCAAAGUUUUGAUCAUUGAGUUAAAAUUUUGGGAGAGCAAUGAUCUUUUUAGAAAAAUCUGUCAGAAUAUUGUCUCGUAUUUGACACUGCCAAGACCUAAAAAUGUCACAUGCAAUCCAACCAAAUAUCGAGGCCCGAAUGUCAUGAAAUACCCCAAACUAAGUCCAGACAAAGGAGCAGAGCCACUCUAAAGGGAUCAGAAUCCUCCCCUAAGCUCAAGGGUGAGGAUCUGACCAAGCCUAUCAGGCUAUAAAUAUGAGAUUUUUUUUUUAAAAUUGUAAUAAUUGUAACUGUUGAAUAAAAUUUCAACGGUCUGAUAGACUUGGCCAGAAGGAUCCUCACUCUUAGCUUAGCUCAUGAGAGGAUCAUGAUCCCACUCUAAGGCCACCGUAGGCCUACCCUCACUACCCUUUCUAAAUAAUUUAGUACUAUGUAUAUGCAUAUAUACAUGCCUUUUAUGUAAAGGGAUCCUUAUUUUUUUUCAAAAACUAGGGAUUAGGUGUGGGGCUCAUUCCACAUUGAACUUCAACAAUCCGAACCAUCUAUUUUGUAAGUCUCGUUUCAUAGAUCAUCCUUACAAAAAUUCAAUGCAAUUCAAUCCAAAAUCAUUUGUCUAUUUAAUUAUCAAGAUAAAAUUUCAUUAAUUUCGUUGUUUCUUAUACAACAAAAAUUAUUCGUUAAUUUCUUUGAACUCAAUUAGAUGUCUUAAACAUUUUCGAUUUGGCUAAUACUUUGCAAGGAUGAUCUAUGAGGUGCAACUUGAAAAAUAGACGGUUCGGAUCAUUAAAGUUUGAUGUGGUGUGGACUCCACAACUAAUCCCUAUUUUUAUAAAAAAAAAAUGAGGAUCUUUUCCAUUAAAGGUUUCCUAUAUAUAUAUUUAAUGACACACCCCGAUCCUAGAAUCAAGGCGUGCUGGUCGUCACGUGAGUGUGACGUAGCCAAAAGUGCGACACGGAAGCAAGAUAUAACAGAAAUAUGAAGGAAUUUAAACCAACCACUAGCAGUAAUAACCUACUAGCAUCAAAGAGAGAGUUAUAAAGUAAAACACACGAAUUCAGAGCGUAGGUAUAAGUGCAGUCAAGUAGGACCAUAAUUAAAGUACAACACCCGCAAGUGAGUCCUACAUGCAGAACGUCUGUCAGAAUGCCGAAAAAGACCUCGUGAGCCACCAACUGCUAACUAGAACCUGGAGGGGCGCAAAACAAAGAUGAGUGGGUCAGUAAAACCAAAGAUUUUCCAAAACAUUUCAUUUAAAACAUUUCUAACCCCUCACCGUAAAACCUGUAUACUUUCCCAGAAAAAUAGUAUAUAAACAUAUAUAUAUCAACAAAAGCUCAAAUCACAAUCCUUCAACGCUUUUCAGAAAGAAUAUGUCAUGCCAUGCCAUAAUAUAAUAUGAAUACAUCAAUAUAAUCAGGUGAAAUAAUAAAUCAACCGGAGACCCUACAAUGGUCCUGUACGGCUGAUUCUAUAGCUCAAUAUCCCAUCAAGCCGGAGUCACCAACUGUGACCUGUACGGCACUAUACUGCACAUAAGUCGGAACUACCUAAAGUAGUCUGUACAACUAAGAUGGUGAAAUAAUACGCUCUAAUGCUUCUCUCAUCAAUCAUCUGUGCACAUAAUCUAAAGUCACCCACCAGUCGGAACCCCUCUAAAGGUCUGUACGACUGGCAUGUCGGAACCACCUCUAGUGGUCUGUACGACAUCCACUUAUUUGGAUCCAAGGCGAGCGUGCGGUGUGUGAAUACUAUAAGCACUAAUACCAAAGGUGCAGUUUAUGAGCUCACAACGCAAUCACAUCAUCAUUCAUUCAUAUAAACCAUAUAAACUCACCUGAUACUCACUUGUGCGUCCACAGCGUCAAUUCACAUAUAUAUGCAUCAAUUAUCAGUUCAAACAUCUCAACAAUUGCAUGCGUGGCAUUUAAAAACAUAUUUUCAUAUAAUUGCAUUUUCUGGGAAAACAGUAGUAUAUAGGUAAUACGAAAACAAAACUGCCCAUUCACUGGUAAGUCGAUGGGUCGUAACCCCCGUGACGUCCCUGGAUGCGCUCGUCCUCGGGAUAGGUGUCACCGGAGAAAUUUCACAAAAACCGGCCAACUUUGAACGUGGUGAUCCCGACGUCCAAAACUUCCAAACGAACGUCCCCGAGCUUCCUUAGAACCUCCCUAAGCUCACUAUAAGCUUGGAUUGUCCUGAAAUGGGUGUGGUUGAGUUCGUAGAGUCCUCACGAGCACGAUGGUGUCUUCAAAAUCCUCGAUCUAUGAAGUUUCAGGGGGCUUUGGCGUUGGUCUGUACGGUUCGAGAAUGAGAGAGAGACUGUAUGGAGAGGAGAGAGAGAGAGACACGGGGAGGGAAAGGGAAAAAUGUCCCGAGGGUGUGUGGUCACCAACAAAUCCCACGUCAAACCCUAACCACACAAAUUUACAAAAUCAUUUUUUUAUCCAAACUUAACUUAUUUUCCAAGAACUUAGGGGUGUAUAUAUUUAACCAAUAAUGUGACACACGUACCUUAGUCCCCGCUAAGGGGUAAUUCCGUCAUUUCACGCUCCCGAUAUAGAAUUUUCGGGACGGGCUGUGACAUUUAACAUCUUAUUUAAAACUGAAAUCUAAAUUCUAGUUUAGUUUUAUCAAAAAUUAAUCUUUUACAUUGCCAACUGAAGAAUAAUAAACUUUUAAGUUUUUCCUCCUCCGUUUCUUGAAAUUUCAUAUAUUUUGUCUCUGUUCUCUUUAACUUUUUACUAAAUUUUUCAAAUUUCAUAUAUUUUAUUCUCCAAAUUCUCAAUUCAUUCUUCUCAUUUUUUGUUUCAAAAUUCUCAAUCUACUUGACCCAUAUUUUGAGACGACAUGAUUAUAUAGUAGUUUCUGGUUGGACUGCUUCUUUAAAUUAUUAAAGAAUGAAUUCAAUCAUCAACAGACACAUUACGUUGUCUCCAAAAUAUGGUCUAAAAGAAUGGUUCUUAGUAUUUUUCAUUGACUUGAUAUUAGAGGGUUAGUUUCUCUUGAUCCUCUUUAAUUUUUUAUUAAUUAUGACUUGAUAAUGGAAUGUUAACUUCAACAUAGAACAAAUCAUUUAAAGCCUCAAAAAAUUAAUUAGCUCACAAUUUCAAGCAUGUAUUAUACUCUCUUGUAAAUAAUAUCUAUUUAUUUAUUAUUUUGACAUUUAUGUGAGGCCCCUCCUUACCUAAAAUCCUAGCUCUCCGCCACUACCCAGACACAUACAAAGGUGUGGAAUCAAGAAAGAAAAAUAUUCAAAAUUAUGCUACGCUAUUAAAAUAAUGAUAAAUGGACUGGAUGCUUGUAUAAUCACGUCAUGCCCCUGCAAAUCCAUACAUAUUCAUUACGCCAAACUCUAUUACGCUAACUAUGAUACACGUUAAAACAAGCCCAAGCCACGUGUUGGGACUUUCCAAGUAAAUUGUGGCAUGGAUAGUUACAGAAGUUUAUCAGCCUUACGCAGAAAAAUCCGUUCGAAGAUUCUACGGGUUUUGGAUUUGGGGAAAAAAUGGUUUAGGGUAUGCGAAUGAAACAUCCAAACUCGAUACGUCCGUUGCCAUCCCUGUUACCUAUUACCGCUACAUUGGCAUCCCAAUUGUAAGCAAGUGUAUCUCUUGACUUAAGCUAAAAAGAGGAACCGUAAACAGAGAACAAAAUUCUAUAACUUUUAUUGCAUCGAAUAUUACUCUGAUUACAUGAAGAGUGCUUGCAACUUUUUGGAAACAAGCAAUUUAACUAUUUUCGUCUCCCCAAUGAAUCAUUUUUAUCCAGUUCUAGAAAAGUAGAAACCCGGCCAAAUUUGCAAAGCUCAUAAUAUACUGCCUUGGUCAUAAAUGGAAGCCCCAACCCCGGCAUCUCGUUCCCUCAUCUGCAUACUCUUCUACUCAAGCAGUUUGCUCUUCAUCAAUGCUAUGAUGUACCGCCACUGCCACCACCACCACCGCCAGCUACCAAAAUUCAGGAUAUACACACACUCCGCGUCCCUAUGAGUACAAGCGCAACACUGGUUUGUAAUAAAUUGCAAAGAAAGAUAGUUUCACCAGCCUUCCAGCACAGGAAUUUCCCUCAAGAGUAAACCUUUUCGCUAUUAUCUGAGACGAUUAGAGAGUUGUUUACAUUGGGAAUUCCUUCUUACACAAACAAUCUGGUAAAGGGUUCACGUAAAAGGGUUCUUCUGAACGAAACCUUUCUGUGCCCUUAGUUCCUGAAAUGGGACCCUUUCUCUUCCGCGCGGAGCCUUGCCUGUUUAACAUCCGUUGAAGACAGUCAAUUAUGAAAUAUCGGGCUUUAAACGCCAUUCAAUAAUUGAGAAAACAAGAAAUUAUGAUUUGUGUACACAAUAACCAGAAAUGGUAUUGGUUUGACCAAGUGAUUCUUAUGGAACUUCAAGGCGUUGGUGAGAAAUAUCAUACCGUUUCAUGUGCAUUUCAAUAACUCUAUUUGAUAGGUUUUUGCCCUCCUUCAGAGUUCCCUGCUGAAGUUUGUCAAUCAGGCGAACAAGGGCUUUUCUGUGGAACAGAUAGAAGCACAGAAACAGAAUGAGUUUGCAACUCUUUAUGGCCAUAAAAUGAUAUUGGGAGUAGCUCAAAUCUGCAUACAUUCAGAAAAUAAAUCGCCUUGCCUGUCAGGAGAUAUUGUUUUCCUGUGUCCAAGAAAUCGUCGAUGACCUUCAACUGCUCUUGCCAUGUUUCCAGAGUAUGAAGGUAUAAAUACAUCACUUUCAACUGAAACAAUGUAGUCAAGCGCAGCCAUUUGAGAUGCAUGAUUGGUAAAGGGUUCAAGCUCCUCGGCGGAUGCCAAAGUUUCCUGACAGUGAAGACCAAUAAAUCCCCAUGCAAAUUAAUUACAUUAUACAAACAACAACAACAACAAAGCCUUUUCCCACUAAGUGGGGUCGGCUAUAUGAAUCCUAGAACGCCAUUGCGCUCGGUUUUGUGUCAUGUCCUCCGUUAGAUCCAAGUAAUCAAGUCUUUUCUUAGGGUCUCUUCCAAAGUUUUCCUAGGUCUUCCUCUACCCCUUCGGCCCUGAACUUCUGUCCCGUAGUCACAUUUUCGAACCGGAGCGUCAGUAGGCCUUCUUUGCACAUGUCCAAACCACCGGAACCGAUUUUCUCUCAUAUUUCCUUCAAUUUUGGCUACUCCUACUUUACCUUGGAUAUCCUCAUUCCCAAUCUUAUCCUUUCUCGUGUGCCCAUACAUCCACGAAGCAUCCUCAUCUCCGCUACGCCCAUUUUGUGUACGUGUUGAUGCUUCACCGCCCAACAUUCUGUGCCAUACAACAUCGUUGGCCUUAUUGCCGUCCUAUAAAAUUUUCCCUUGAGCUUCAGUGGCCUACGACGAUCACACAACACGCCGGAUACACUCUUACACUUCAUCCAUCCAACUUGUAUUCUAUGGUUUGAGAUCUCCAUCUAAUUCUCCGUUCUCUUGCAAGAUAGAUCCUAGGUAGCGAAAACGGUCACUUUUUGUGAUCUUCGCUAGAUUGCUCCGGUCAUUAGUGUGGAUAAGUAUAUAAAUGGAUAGAGAUAGGAAAGCAAACACAAGAUGUACGUGAUUCACCCAGAUUGGCUACGUCCACGGAAUAGAGGAGUUCUCAUUAAUUGUGAAGGGUUUACACAAGUACAUAGGUUCAAGCUCUCCUUUAGGGAGUACAAGUGAAUGAUUUAGUACAAAAGACAUUAGGAAAUAUUGUGGGAGAAUGAUCUCGUAACCACGAAACUUCUAAGUCCCGGAGUGUGGUAUCGGCUUGACUUUCCUUAUCUGUCUCAUAUAGGUAGAUGUGGAAUCUUCUCUGGAAGUACUCUUCCUCCAUCCAGGGGUGGUAUCUGUAACUGGUGGAGAUGCACAAGGUAAUGUAUCAAUGUCACUUGAAGCUUACUUGUAGUUUCAGGCUUGGUCAAGCGCGAUUACAAACCAUGUAGUAGGAGUCCCCCAAGUCGCCGAGCUAGGGAUCUGCUGAAAGAGGUAACAGACAAGGUAAGCAAUCAGAGCUCCGGCUGAUUGUUCACAUUCUCCCUAUCUUGCAGGCAGCAUGAAGGAUAAAGAGAAGAAAAAUGAGAAGAGAGAUGAUAUGGGAUACUUUUGCUUUUGAAGAAGUAACUUUCCACAGGCUUAUUCUUGAACUGGGCUGGAGGGUUUUCUGGUUUCCUCCAAAGUAUAAGGCCGACUGAAGAAUUUGAGGGUCAAAACAAGUCCAUCAAAUCUAGAGUACGUUCGACCCUGUUGAUAUGGGAUACUUUUGCUUUUGACAGAGUAGUGGAUGUAUCGGCACGUGUGCUGUUACGCUUGUCUCCACAUGCUUCCUUGUAUCCUUCUCACUUGCCCUAUCUGUUCCUUAGGCAGAUGCGGUAUCUUCCUUGGAAGCAUAAGAUGUUAAAGAUGAGUACUCGGGAGCAAUGUCAGGGUAAGGGGUUCCAGGCAGUCAGUUCCUGGCUGGAAGCUUGAUUCCAAGUGCUGACUGAUUGCUCUCUUUCUCCUUGUCUUGCAGGUAAGAACAAGGCCAAAGGAAAAGACAGGGAAAAAGCAUGAUAUGGGAUACUCUUGCUUUUAACCCUGAUGAUAUGAGAUAUUCUUGCUCUAGUAUAGCUUGUUUACAGAGGUAUUAUCGGGGGGAAAGAAAGCUGAAUAUUUCGAAAGGCUUCGUUGGGAGUGCCCUCUCAGAUAAGAGGAAGGGUUGAGCAUUUUUGCAGGUCUGCCUGUCCGUUGGGGAUGGAGGUCGACAUAUAUAGGAGUCUCCCUAACAUCAAGUAAUAAUGCUAUUCCUUUACCCUGCUUGGUCAUAGCACGGUAGUGGGAGCUGCCAGCUUCACAAGUUUUAACUCUGUCAGAGCACUUUGAAAAAAAUGGUCUGUGGUAUCUGGAAAGCUGAUGUUGCGUGUGAAGAUUACAGACAAGCUUUAUCCAAGGAGAUCCGGCUCUUGAAGUUGGGAAAGUGGUGCCUCUUCGGUUUUCGAACAAGCAAUCAUGUCGGGGAUCUGGCUCUCGAGAUUCGGAGAACGAUGCCUCUUCGAUUUUUGAGAAAGCAAUCAUGCUGGGGUCUGGCUCUCGAGAAUCGGAGAGCGGUGUCUUCGAUUUUUGAGAAAGUAAUCAUGUUGGGAGUUGGGAGUGUUUUCUCGAAUAUGAGUAAAGGUUGGGCAUGUUUGCUAGUCUACCUUGCCACGAAGCACAGAGGUUGACACACAGGGACUUUCCAAUUAUCCAGCAGUGGUACUGUUCCUUUACCCUCUCUUCGAUUUUUGAGAAAGUAAUCAUGUUAGGAGUCUGGCUCUCGAGAUUCGGAGGGCGGUGCCUCUUCGAUUUUGGAGCAAGCAAUCUUGUUGGGGGUGUUUUUCUCGAAUGUGAGUAAAGGUUGGGCAUGUUUGCUAGUCUACCUUGCCACGAAGCACAGAGGGUGACACACAGGGACUUUCAAAUUAUCCAGCAGUGGUACUGUUCCUUUACCCUCUCUUCGAUUUUUGAGAAAGUAAUCAUGUUGGGAGUCUGGCUCUCGAGAUUCGGAGAGGCGAUGCUCUUCGAUUUUGGGGCAAGCAAUCUUGUUGGGAGUGUUUUCUCGAAUGUGAGUAAAGGUUGGGCAUGUUUGCUAGUCUACCUUGCCAUGAAGCACAGAGGUUGACACACCGGGACUUUCCAAUUAUCCAGCAGUGGUACUGUUCCUUUACCCUUGUGGGUAAUAAUAUGGUAGCUAGGCCGUCAAAAUUUAUGUGUCUAAACUUUGUUAGUGUUGUUUGUUUCUUUGCUAUUCUUUUACCCUUCUUGGUCAGAGCGAUGUAGUGAGAGUUGCAAGCUUCACGUGUCUCGACUUUGUCAGAGAACUUUGGCAAAGUUAUAUGUGGUACCCAUGAGCUACUGUGGUGCGUGUGGGAAGUGGGUGAUUGAACAGUACGAUUCAUGUGCUUUCUACUUCGCCAGAAAUCUUCGACAGAAUGCCCAUAAUUUCCGCAAAGCUGAGUGUGCGUGCGACAGGUGCUGACAAGGCUGGAAAAGUAGUCUCAACUUUGUCAGAGGACUUUGGCAAAGUUAUAUGUGGUACCCAUGAGCUACUGUUGAGUGUGGGAAGUGGGUGAUUGAACAGUAUGAUUCAUGUGCUUUCUACUUCGCCAGAAAUCAUCGACAGAAUGCCCAUAAUUUCCGCAAAGCUGAGUGCGUGUGACAGGUGCUGACAAGGCUGGAAAAGUAGGUGCCUCUUCGAUUUCUGUGAUCGACCCUCGUGGUCUCUGAGCAGCCCAGCUUUUGAGAAAGCAAACCUCUUCGAUUUCUGAGAUCUGCCCUCGUGGUCUCUGAGCAGUCCAGCUUUUGAGAAAGCAAACCUCUUCGAUUUUUGAGAUCGGCCCUCGUGGUCUCUGAGCAGCCCAGCUUUUGAGAAAGCAAACCUCUUCGAUUUCUGAGAUCGGCCUUCGUGGUCUUUGAGCAGCCCAGCUUUUGAGAAAGCAAACGCCUCUUCGAUUUCUGAGAUCGACCCUCGUGGUCUCUGAGCAGCCCAGCUUUUGAGAAAGCAACGCCUCUUCGAUUUCUGAAGCUUCGUCGAGUGCAGAUUUUUAUAGAGGCUGACAUUAAGUUCCAAAGCACACUUGAAUAUCCACCAGUAGAAGCUCCAUUCUUGCACUUCUAAGAUCUUGAUUUGUCCGACCUCUUCUCUUUUCUACACCUUUGAAAAUGUCUGGCCCCUCCGACCGUCGUUUUGACUUGAACCUUGUUGAAGAGGCCAGCCCCGCCUUCUCCAGACAACAUAUGGCGCCCAUCCUUCGUCUCCCCUACUGGUUCUCUUACCGUUGGGGAUUCCGUGAUGAAGAAUGAUAUGACCGCUGCGGUAGUGGCCAGGAACCUUCUCACUCCCAAAGAUAACAGACUACUUUCCAAACGGUCUGAUGAGUUGGCUGUUAAGGAUUCUCUGGCUCUUAGUGUUCAGUGUGCAGGUUCUGUGUCUAAUAUGGCCCAACGCCUAUUUGCUCGAACCCGCCAAGUUGAAUCAUUGGCGGCUGAAGUGAUGAGUCUCAAACAGGAGAUUAGAGGGCUCAAGCAUGAGAAUAAACAGUUGCACCGGCUCGCACAUGACUAUGCUACAAACAUGAAGAGGAAGCUUGACCAGAUGAAGGAAUCUGAUGGUCAGGUUUUACUUGAUCAUCAGAGAUUUGUGGGUUUGUUCCAAAGGCAUUUAUUGCCUUCGUCUUCUGGGGCUGUACCGCGUAAUGAAGCUCCAAAUGAUCAACCUCUGAUGCCUCCUCCUUCUAGGGUUCUGUCCAGUACUGAGGCUCCGAAUGAUCCCCCUCCGGUGCCUUCUCUUUCUGGGGCUCUACCGACUGCCGAGACUUCUCCUAAGCAACCUUUGUGAAGGCUCCCUCUUGUUUGUUUAUUUUUGACUCAAGUAUAUGUACAUAUUUGUAAUUUAUCGGGGAUAUCAAUAAAUAAGCUUUCCUUCAUUUCAACGUAUUGUGUUAAAUCACCAAAGCCUUCUUCGCUAAGUUCUUUGAAUUUUCUUUUGUUGAAGCUUGUAUGUUGGAGCUUUGUGAGUGGAGCAUGUAGGUUGAGGUAGUGUUCCCUUAAUUUCCCGAGCGAGGACAACUUCUCGGUUGGAGACUUGGAAAAAUCCAAGUCACUGAGUGGGAUCGGCUAUAUGAAUCUUAGAACGCCAUUGUGUUCUGUCCUGUGUCAUGUCCUCUGUUAGAUCCAAGUACUCUAAGUCUUUUCUUAGGGUCUCUCUCAAAGUUUUCCUGGGUCUUCCUCUACCCCUUCGGCCCUGAACCUUUGUCCCAUAGUCGCAUCUUCUAAUCGGAGCGUCAGUAGGCCUUCUUUGCACAUGUCCAAACCACCGUAACCGAUUUUCUCUCAUCUUUCCUUCAAUUUCGGCUACUCCUACUUUACCCCGGAUAUCCUCAUUCCUAAUCUUAUCCUUUCUCGUGUGCCCACACAUCCAACGAAGCAUCCUCAUCUCCGCUACACCCAUUUUGUGUACGUGUUGUUGAUGCUUCACCGCCCAACAUUCUGUGCCAUACAGCAUCGCCGGCCUUAUUGCCGUCCUAUAAAAUUUUCCCUUGAGCUUCAGUGGCAUACGGUGGUCACACAACACGCCGGAUGCACUCUUCCACUUCAUCCAUCCAGCUUGUAUUCUAUGGUUGAGAUCUCCAUCUAAUUCUCCGUUCUUUUGCAAGAUAGAUCCUAGGUAACGAAAACGGUCGCUCUUUGGUAUUUCUUGAUCUCCGAUCCUCACCCCUAACUCGUUUUGGCCUCCAUUUGCACUGAACUUGCACUCCAUAUAUUCUGUCUUUGAUCGGCUUAGGCGAAGACCUUUAGAUUCCAACACUUCUCUCCAAAGGUUAAGCUUUGCAUUUACCCCUUCUUGAGUUUCAUCUAUCAACACUAUAUCGUCUGCGAAAAGCAUACACCAAGGAAUAUCAUCUUGAAAAUUAAUUACAUUAUCAGAACAGAUUUUUUUUAAGCAACCCCCAAUCAUCCUCUAACAAUCGAUGAUAUGAUUUUUCACGAGUUAUCCAAAUUAAAACCUCUGGUGUAUUGAUGUAAGGGCGUCUCACCUUCUCUCCAUUAAAAAAAUAAUAUUAUUAUCCCCAUUAAAAUACAGUAGCGAAAAAAAUAAAUACCACUCAGCCUUUCAGUCUCUUCAUCUGUUAGCCAGUACCCAUCACAACCAACAAAAGUAAAUUAAAUGCCUCUUAGUAAUAGAUGAAUGACAAGCAUAACACAGAGAAAAUGACUGAGCUUCAUAAACUCAGCAAGCAAUACUGCAACCCGUUAAAGUUUCUUUCAGUAAAUCCUUUCUUUGUAGUAGUUUGUACCCGGCUUUUUGAAUAAAAUAUGUCCGGCAAGAUCAUAGUGAAACACACAUCGGUUGGAAAUUAUAAUUGUGAGUAAUUUGAGCUCCAAGGAGAAUUGCUCUAGUCAGUUUAGAAUAGUAGUAAUGAAUGUGGGUAAUAUAUUUGGUUAAAUAACGUGUAGACCUUUGUUUCAGUAGUCCUGUUAAUUUUCCAUCUAUACUCUGUAAAUAUGAAUGUCCCAUGUUUCAUGUUCACUUAAGCUCAACCACGGACAUUCCAAAAAGUCUUUUAUCAUAUUGACAUACUCCAUUUGGGGCACAAUUAUUUAACAAAAUGGAGAAACCAUAAGCA